rnacentral:rRNA from 1 species
AGUCGAACGCGAAAGGGGGAGCAAUCCCCCCGGUAGAGUGGCGAACGGGUGAGUAAUACAUCGGAACGUACCCAGUAGCGGGGGAUAACCUCUCGAAAGAGAGGCUAAUACCGCAUACGACCUACGGGUGAAAGAGGGGGAUCGCAAGACCUCUCACUAUUGGAGCGGCCGAUGUCGGAUUAGCUAGUUGGCGGGGUAAAGGCCCACCAAGGCUACGAUCCGUAGCUGGUCUGAGAGGACGACCAGCCACACUGGAACUGAGACACGGUCCAGACUCCUACGGGAGGCAGCAGUGGGGAAUUUUGGACAAUGGGCGCAAGCCUGAUCCAGCCAUGCCGCGUGGGUGAAGAAGGCCUUCGGGUUGUAAAGCCCUUUCGGCUGGGACGAAAAGGUCCGUAUUAACACUACGGAUCCAUGACGGUACCAGCAGAAGAAGCACCGGCUAACUACGUGCCAGCAGCCGCGGUAAUACGUAGGGUGCAGGCGUUAAUCGGAAUUACUGGGCGUAAAGCGUGCGCAGGCGGUUUGCUAAGAGAGAUGUGAAAUCCCCGGGCUUAACCUGGGAACUGCGUUUCUAACUGGCAGGCUUGAGUGUGGCAGAGGGGGGUGGAAUUCCACGUGUAGCAGUGAAAUGCGUAGAGGUGGAGGAACACCGAUGGCGAAGGCAGCCCCCUGGGCUAACACUGACGCUCAUGCACGAAAGCGUGGGGAGCAAACAGGAUAGAUACCCUGGUAGUCCACGCCCUAAACUAUGUCAACUGGUGUCGGGGAAGCAAUUCCUUGUAACGAAGCUAACGCGUGAAGUUGACGCCUGGGGAGUACGGCCGCAAGGUAAAACUCAAAGGAAUUGACGGGGACCCGCACAAGCGG